rnacentral:rRNA from 1 species
GGGUGAGUAACGCGUGAGGAACCUGCCUUUCAGAGGGGGACAACAGUUGGAAACGACUGCUAAUACCGCAUGAUACAUUUGGGUGGCAUCAUCUGAAUGUCAAAGAUUUAUCGCUGAAAGAUGGCCUCGCGUCUGAUUAGCUGGUUGGUGAGGUAACGGCCCACCAAGGCGACGAUCAGUAGCCGGACUGAGAGGUUGACCGGCCACAUUGGGACUGAGAUACGGCCCAGACUCCUACGGGAGGCAGCAGUGGGGAAUAUUGGGCAAUGGGCGCAAGCCUGACCCAGCAACGCCGCGUGAAGGAAGAAGGCUUUCGGGUUGUAAACUUCUUUUAAGAGGGAAGAGCAGAAGACUGUACCUCUAGAAUAAGCCACGGCUAACUACGUGCCAGCAGCCGCGGUAAUACGUAGGUGGCAAGCGUUGUCCGGAUUUACUGGGUGUAAAGGGCGUGCAGCCGGGAAUGCAAGUCAGAUGUGAAAUCCAUGGGCUUAACCCAUGAACUGCAUUUGAAACUGUAUUUCUUGAGUACUGGAGAGGCAACCGGAAUUCCUAGUGUAGCGGUGAAAUGCGUAGAUAUUAGGAGGAACACCAGUGGCGAAGGCGGAUUGCUGGACAGCAACUGACGGUGAGGCGCGAAAGUGUGGGGAGCAAACAGGAUUAGAUACCCUGGUAGUCCACACUGUAAACGAUGAAUACUAGGUGUGCGGGGACU